ACCUCUGCGCAGAGGUAGUGUCGCACCCAAUGAGGUCUGGCCGAGGGGUGACUACUGUUAGUUGAAAAAAUUGAACCU
rnacentral:snRNA from 1 species